CGAGGUGUAGCGCAGUCUGGUCAGGGCAUCUGUUUUGGGUAUAGAGGGCCAUAGGUUCGAAUCUUGUCACCUUGA
rnacentral:tRNA from 1 species